GCUUAACGCGAAGAACCUUACCCAGGCUUGACAUCCCUGGAAGGUCUCCGAAAGGAGACUGUGCCUUCGGGAAUCAGGUGACAGGUGCUGCAUGGCCGUCGUCAGCUCGUGUCGUGAGAUGUUUGGUUAAGUCCAUUAACGAGCGCAACCCUUGUAAGUAGUUGAAUUUUUCUACUUAGACCGCCUCGGUAACGGGAGGAAGGAGGGGAUGAUGUCAGGUCAGUAUUGCCCUUACGCCUGGGGCUACAAACACGCUACAAUGGCCGGUACAAAGGGCAGCCAACCCGCGAGGGGAGCAAAUCCCAUCAAAACCGGUACCCAGUUCGGAUAGCAGGCUGAAAUUCGCCUGCUUGAAGUCGGAAUCGCUAGUAACGGUGAGUCAGCAUGCCGCGGUGAAUACGUUCCCGGGUCUUGUACACACCG
rnacentral:rRNA from 1 species